rfam:Triticum aestivum genome assembly, contig: Triticum_aestivum_CS42_TGACv1_scaffold_362442_4DS
AUACGACUCCCUCCGUCCGAAAAUACUUGUCAUCAAAAUGGAUAAAAAGAAACGUAUCUAAAACUAAUAUACAUUUAAAUACAUCUCCUUUUAUUCAUUUUGAUGACAAAUAUUUUCAAACGGAGGAAGUAUAAU